rnacentral:rRNA from 1 species
UACGUAGGCAGCGAGCGUUGUUCGGAGUUACUGGGCGUAAAGGGUGUGUAGGCGGUUGUUUAAGUUUGGUGUGAAAUCUCCCGGCUCAACUGGGGAGGGUGCGCCGAAUACUGAAUGACUUGGAGUGCGGGAGAGGAAAGUGGAAUUCCUGGUGUAGCGGUGAAAUGCGUAGAUAUCAGGAGGAACACCGGUGGUGUAGACGGCUUUCUGGACCGUAACUGACGCUGAGACACGAAAGCGUGGGUAGCAAACAGG